UACGUAGGGUGCAAGCGUUACUCGGAAUUACUGGGCGUAAAGCGUGCGUAGGUGGUUGUUUAAGUCUGUUGUGAAAGCCCUGGGCUCAACCUGGGAAUUGCAGUGGAUACUGGGCGACUAGAGUGUGGUAGAGGGUAGUGGAAUUCCCGGUGUAGCAGUGAAAUGCGUAGAGAUCGGGAGGAACAUCCAUGGCGAAGGCAGCUACCUGGACCCAACACUGACACUGAGGCACGAAAGCGUGGGGAGCAAACAGG
rnacentral:rRNA from 1 species